CCUCCACUCUAGCAGCACAUAGAUAUUGGCGCUCUCAGUCCUGCCAGUGUCCUUGUGCUGCCCCAGUGAGGU
rnacentral:pre_miRNA from 1 species